rnacentral:rRNA from 1 species
UUUGCCGGAUUAGCUGAGAGGUGGUGCAUGGCCGUCGUCAGUUCGUACUGUGAAGCAUCCUGUUAAGUCAGGCAACGAGCGAGACCCACGCCCACAGUUGCCAGCGUACUCUCUGGAGUGACGGGUACACUGUGGGGACCGCCGCUGCUAAAGCGGAGGAAGGAAUGGGCAACGGUAGGUCAGUAUGCCCCGAAUAUCCCGGGCUACACGCGAGCUACAAUGGUUGGUACAAUGGGUAUCUACCCCGAAAGGGGACGGGAAUCUCCUAAACCAAUCUUAGUUCGGAUUGAGGGCUGCAACUCGCCCUCAUGAAGCUGGAAUCCGUAGUAAUCGCGUUUCAACAGAACGCGGUGAAUACGUCCCUGCUCCUU